GGCGGUUCUUGGGUGACACACCCCAGAAUUGGGCUCCCUCCUCUCUGGUUCCGGGUGCGUCACCUGAGAACCGCA
rfam:Myotis brandtii contig267405, whole genome shotgun sequence.